AGCGACAGCGGGUCUGCACGGCGGGCACGAGACAGCAAUCGGUGAGCAACGGAAGACCGUUCGUGUUAGCCGGCCCAGUUGAUAAGGUGCUAAAAGUUUUUUUUUAUGAUGGUUCUUGGGAGAAAACUCAACCGAAGAAGAAAGAUGCAGGUUGUUUGGUGAGUACCAGUUGCUGGGCGCAAGGACUUUUUGGAAUUAAAGAGGGCGACGGCGACCAAAGUUAGUAAGGCAGGAUGCUAAUUGCUAAACUUGGAGUUGGUUUACGUGUGGAGUAAGGGUAUUAAGGUAUGAAACAUCCAUUAAUGGCAGAUAUAUACAAGCAAAACUGUUCAUGAAAAGAUCCUCUUUCUCUCUAAAAAGAAAACAUAUAUCCUCUGCUUUACUAUUUGGAUCGUGAAGGACUGGAUCCCCUUCAACCAGACGGAGCAAGGCUAGAAAACCAGGAUAAAAAUCGAUUUUGGACACGAAGUCAAGCUGAAGAUUUGCAUAUACUCUGUGGCAGCAAGAAACCAAGAACAGCUGCAACAUGUAGCAAGGCGUAACAAUAUCCAGUCUAGAGUGAGAGGGAUCGAACCGUAGAGGUGGUUGAAAAAGAGGUGCGUGGCGCCGGUGCUGCGGACGAGGU
rnacentral:lncRNA from 1 species